rnacentral:rRNA from 1 species
AACGAACGCUGGUGGCGUGCUUAACACAUGCAAGUCGAACGAGAAAGUUUCCUUCGGGAAAUUAGUAAAGUGGCGCAAGGGUGAGUAUCACGUGAAUAAUCUGCCCUCGAGAUCGGAAUAACAUGGUGAAAACUAUGCUAAUGCCGGAUAAGACCACAUUUCAUAAGAAAUGCGGUAAAAGGAGUCUCAAUCUUCACUCGAGGAUGAGUUCGCGCAACAUUAGCUUGUUGGUGAGAUAAAAGCUCACCAAGGCUACGAUGUUUAGCCGGCCUGAGAGGGUGAACGGCCACACUGGAACUGAGACACGGUCCAGACUCCUACGGGAGGCAGCAGUAGGGAAUCUUGCGCAAUGGGCGAAAAGCCUGACGCAGCCACGCCGCCGUGAGGGAUG